rnacentral:rRNA from 2 species
ACCUGAAACCGUGUACGUACAAGCAGUGGGAGCCUCUUAAUGGGGUGACUGCGUACCUUUUGUAUAAUGGGUCAGCGACUUAUAUUCUGUAGCAAGGUUAACCGAAUAGGGGAGCCGAAGGGAAACCGAGUCUUAACUGGGCGUUAAGUUGCAGGGUAUAGACCCGAAACCCGGUGAUCUAGCCAUGGGCAGGUUGAAGGUUGGGUAACACUAACUGGAGGACCGAACCGACUAAUGUUGAAAAAUUAGCGGAUGACUUGUGGCUGGGGGUGAAAGGCCAAUCAAACCGGGAGAUAGCUGGUUCUCCCCGAAAGCUAUUUAGGUAGCGCCUCGUGAAUUCAUCUCCGGGGGUAGAGCACUGUUUCGGCAAGGGGGUCAUCCCGACUUACCAACCCGAUGCAAACUGCGAAUACCGGAGAAUGUUAUCACGGGAGACACACGGCGGGUGCUAACGUCCGUCGUGAAGAGGGAAACAACCCAGACCGCCAGCUAAGGUCCCAAAGUCAUGGUUAAGUGGGAAACGAUGUGGGAAGGCCCAGACAGCCAGGAUGUUGGCUUAGAAGCAGCCAUCAUUUAAAGAAAGCGUAAUAGCUCACUGGUCGAGUCGGCCUGCGCGGAAGAUGUAACGGGGCUAAACCAUGCACCGAAGCUGCGGCAGCGACACUAUGUGUUGUUGGGUAGGGGAGCGUUCUGUAAGCCUGUGAAGGUGGCCUGUGAGGG